rnacentral:lncRNA from 1 species
CAACACUCCUCUUUAGUCAACACCACAACACUAUUCACUCCCGGGCAGUUCGAAAUCUGAUAUCUUUCGCCGAAACUCCCUGAACAUCCGUUUGAGCUCAAACUUCACAGUCAUAUUCGGUUUUAUGUACUGAGUAAGAAUAUAUUUUAAGUUUUCAGUUUCGACCCCAUUUGGUCACCGAAAACUGUACCGAACUGUAAUCUUUAUCAGAUAGCUGUCGGAUUUUAUUUCUCACUCUACGGGUGUCAGAAAAAUAUAAAACUUUAAAUCUAGUCUCAUAAAAAUAUUUCUGACUUAUUCUCCAAUUUUCAUAAUUUUCUGAGACUGUGCAUUUUCUGCCUAUUUAUCUGUCCCGUUUCCAACAGAAAAUUCUAGAUCUUCUGUUUUUAUUCCGAUUUCAGCACAAGUUACUUCUGACUUAUGUUUUACUCCUCUAAAUCCAAUAAAAAUAGUAUCUCACACUAUUUUUAUUUAUUUUUAUUUUUAUAUUUAAAAUCCGGUAUAUUACAUUCCACCGCAACCUCACCGGAAUCAUUCAAAUGGCUUUCCAACCAAAUGUACACCGUAACUUCAUAAUUUUAGAAGUCCAGUACCUUAC